rnacentral:misc_RNA from 1 species
ACCUCCCCCGCUCUACCAAAGCUAGAUAUCAAAAUGUUAUAAGUAAAUAUGUCUGGUGUGGGGCCAUCCCGUUUCAUCUUUUCAUAGAGAUCAUGAAGAUGAGGAAUCUGCUUUAGCUUCCCAAGUGCAGAGAAGACGGUAUUAUACAUGAAGCUAUCUGCUUGUACUCCCUUUUCAUUCAUCUUAUUCAGCAAAUCAAUAGCCUCAGUUACUUUCUUAGAGUUGCAUAAGCUCUCUAACAUGGACAAGUAGGCAUCACGAUCUCCUCUAUCAUGGAAGCUCCACAUAUUGCAAAACAACCUAUGAGCUUCGCUUGCAUGGCCUAUUUUACUCAACGUUCUAACAAGAUAUGCGUAUAUCGAUUUAUUCAUGUAUCUCUUAGAUAUUUCCA